GACGAACGCUGGCGGCGUGCCUAAUACAUGCAAGUAGAACGCUGAAGGAGGAGCUUGCUUCUCUGGAUGAGUUGCGAACGGGUGAGUAACGCGUAGGUAACCUGCCUGGUAGCGGGGGAUAACUAUUGGAAACGAUAGCUAAUACCGCAUAAUAGUAGAUGUUGCAUGACAUUUGCCUAAAAGGUGCAAUUGCAUCACUACCAGAUGGACCUGCGUUGUAUUAGCUAGUUGGUGGGGUAACGGCUCACCAAGGCGACGAUACAUAGCCGACCUGAGAGGGGGAUCGGCCACACUGGGACGGAGACACGGCCCAGACUCCUACGGGAGGCAGCAGUAGGGAAUCUUCGGCAAUGGACGGAAGUCUGACCGAGCAACGCCGAGGGAGUGAAGAAGGUUUUCGGAUCGUAAAGCUCUGUUGUAAGAGAAGAACGAGUGUGAGAGUGGAAAGUUCACACUGUGACGGUAUCUUACCAGAAAGGGACGGCUAACUACGUG
rnacentral:rRNA from 1 species